AAUAAUGCGCAAAGGAAUAUAUAUGAUAUCAUUAUGGAAAAAGUCAACAACCAAGAUGGUGGUAUGUACUUUGUCUAUGGACAUGGAGGCAGUGGAAAAACAUUCUUGUACCAAACUAUAAUUACAACCAUAAGAUCUACUGGGAGAAUUGUCCUCGCAGUGGCUUCAUCUGGGAUAGCAUCUUUGUUACUUCCAGGGGGUCGUACUGCACAUUCAAGAUUCAAAAUCCCUUUGCAAGUUAAUGAACAAUCAACCUGCCAUGUAAAAAAAGGAACUCAACUAGCAAGAUUAAUAGCAAAGGCAAGCCUUAUUGUCUGGGAUGAAGCACCGAUGACACAUAGGUAUUCUUUUGAAGCUGUCGAUAGAACAUUGCAAGAUAUACUUGGUAUCAAUGGUGAUGAUGCUAAUUCAAAUCCAUUUGGAGGAAAGAUGGUUUUGUUGGGAGGUGACUUUAGGCAAAUUUUACCUGUUGUUAUGCAUGGGACAAGAUAUGAUACAGUGAAUGCAUCAAUAACAAAGUCUCAUCUUUGGAAACAUUGUAAAGUGUUUUCUCUUCAUCAGAAUAUGCGUCCACAGGCAGCAGAACUUACUGAAGAGGAGAAAGCUUCCAUGACAACAUAUGCACAGUGGAUUUUAGAUGUAGGGGAUGGUAAAGUUAUUUCUGCUGCUAUAUCUGAUGAUCAAGAAGAAUCACCUUGGAUAAAAAUACCUUAUCAGCUUUUGCUCAAAUCUAAUGAUGACUUGCUAAAUUCUCUCAUCACAGAAAUUUAUGACAAUUUACAGAAUUCAUAUAAUGAUUCCAGUUAUUUAAAUGAGAGAGCUAUCAUUACCGGUACAAAUGAAACUGUUACUAUGAUAAAUUCUCGUGUUUUGGCUCUUCUUACAAUAGAGGAAAGGACCUACUACAGUUUUGAUUCCAUAUGUAAGACAUCACAGAAUUCUGAUGUAUCAGAUUUACUCUAUACUAUUGAUGCGUUAAACUCGAUGACAUUCCAUGGAAUUCCAAACCAUGAGUUAACAUUGAAGAAAUGUGCUCCAAUAAUGUUACUUCAGAAUUUAAAUCAAGCUGAUGGUUUGUGUAAUGGAACAAGGCUUCUCAUCACUCACCUUGGAGAUAAGGUUAUUCAAGCGAAUGUGCUUAGCGGUAGUCAUGUGGGUGACAACGUAUGUAUUCCUAGAAUAAUUAUGGAUGGGAAGGACAAUAAAUAUCCAUUUGUAUUGAAGAGGAGGCAGUUUCCAAUCAAAUUAUGUUAUGCAAUGACUAUUAACAAAAGUCAAGGGCAAACUCUAAGAAAGGUUGGUUUAUAUCUGCCGAAACCAAUUUUCACACAUGGUCAACUCUAUGUUGCCAUUUCACGUGUGACCUCAUAUAGUGGUCUAAAGAUAACAUUGGAUGAUCAUAAUGAAAAAACAAAGGGAUGUACAAGAAAUAUUGUAUAUCAUGAAAUCUUUGACGGGUUAACUUCAGGUUAAAUAGCAUCACCAUGGAUUAUGACUUCAUAUCUCAAUUGGAAAUUGCCAAUCAUCAGUGGAAGAUCAAAGCAAGGAUACACGCUUUUGGGAUUCAAUCAACCAUGCUCAGGAUGAUUUGCUAAUAAGUGUUGAUGCAUACAUUGUCGAUGAAAAGGGUGAUAGCAUCCUUGUGAUAAUGAGGGCAGACUAUGCUGAAUAUUUCAAAGCUGUGCUUAAUGAGGGAGAUGUGUAUUAUUUCAGCAAUUUCUCGGUAUUUCCAGUGAGGCCUGCUUAUCUGCCAUGCCUUAAUAAAUACAUGAUCAAGUUUGAUAAGAAGACAAAGAUUCAGAAAAUAGCUGAUCCAGAAGAUGACUUCCCUCUGCAUAAAUUUCACUUUAUUAAUUACACUCAAAUGCAAUCCAAAGUACGAAACAAUGUUUACCUGACAGAUAUGAUAGGGCAGCUGGUCAAUGCUGGAGAUGUGCAACAAGUGUACACCAAUAAUAAAAUGGUCAAGCUGAGAAGGAUAGAAUUUGAAGAUGAAAUGAAAAACUAUUUUGAGUAGUAUAUCAGGAUCAAGGAUAUACUUUAAUCCAAAAAUUCCAGAAGUUAAAGAGCUGAAAAAAAGGAUAAUCCAGCCUAGAAUUCUUGAAAUCAUACCAAGUGAACAGUCAUCACCUGCUGACC